rnacentral:rRNA from 1 species
CGUAGGGCGCGAGCGUUGUCCGGAUUUAUUGGGCGUAAAGAGCUCGUAGGCGGCUCGUUGCGUCAACCGUGAAACCCGGGGCUUAACUUCGGGCUUGCGGGUUGAUACGGGCGGGCUGGAGUUCGGCAGGGGAGACUGGGAAUUCCCUGGUGUGCGGUGAAAUGCGCAGAUAGUCAGGAGGAACACCGGUGGCGAAGGCGGGUCUCUGGGCCGGAUACUGACGCUGAGGAGCGAAAGCGUGGGAGGCGAACAGG